rnacentral:lncRNA from 1 species
GUGUGGUUCCAGGUGGUGUCAUUGUAAGGUUAAUUAACAUUAUCUCCGUUUUUUUAGACUCUCAUUCAUAUUUUUCUUUAGAAGACAAAGCAUUGGCUUACAAUGUUGUCAUUAUUUGAUUUAGAUGCAUGACCUUUUUAUAAAUAUGCGUGGGUCUUGAAGUUAACCAAUUUUGGUAACUUAUCGACUUGUAGGAGUCAAAAUUUGCAACUUUUUGAUUCUGGUCAAUUAUUUCUUGCUUAACAAUAUUUGACUUAUUUAAGUCAUAUUUUGUCUUACAUUAAAGGGAGACAAAUCCUAAAACUUACAAAUUUAGACCUCUAUGAGUCAAAAGCAGAUUCAGACUUAUUUAUGUCUGAGCUCUGACUGAUAUAUAUGAAAUCAGGGACACAAAUAUUUUUUUUCCAAAUUAAAUAUUAUACCUGGUAUAAAACAUCCAACAGUAUAAGUGGGUCUAGUGGCGGAUCCAGAAAUUUUCAUAGGUGGGGGCCCACUGACCGACCUAAGAGGGCUCCAGUCAUGCUUCAGUGAUUCCCUAUAUAAGCAACCAAAUUUUUUCCCAAAAAGGGGGAGCCUGGCCCCCCCCCCUUAAUCCGCCUAUGGGGUCCACUUUUGAGUUGAACCCGAGACGUUCAUCAAAAUUCGUGGUGCCUCAGUAGCCUAUAUUUUGCAAUUUAUGGGGCAUUGAAAUUACAUGUGUACCCCCCUUUUUCGAGAACUUGCAAUCGGCAUGAAACGUGAUCAUACGUGCUUUCGAAUUUGAUUCAUUUUGGUCCGUAUUUUCAGUUAGAGAUUUACAAUGUUCUAUUAUCUGAGCAAAAAGUGAAAGCGUGAAUAUUUUCCAUGGAGAUCGUGAAGAACACCUUGACAAGUUUAAAAACGGAUGUUGACAACUUGUGUGGGUAUAAUAUUUCCGGAGACAAGUGCGGAUACCUUAGACCGAAAUCCGAAUGUAAUUCACCAGUAUAUAGUUGAUUCAAUACUAGUAUAUUAUAAGGAAAUGAUGAUAUAUUGGAUUUCAAUUUUCAUGUUUGAUUUUAUUUUUGCCGUUUAAAUCAUUUCUUUGGAUCCGACUUAUUUGAUAGUAAUUAACUAAAAUAUAUGGUAUAAACCAUUACCUUUUGUGUUAUUCAGCAUAAAGAUUAAGCAUCCAAGAAUGUCAUUAAUGCAACUUUUCAACAUGGAAUGCCAAAUCCAACGUCAAAUAAUGCGGCCAUUACGUGUUGACAACGUCGUCUAGUGAACCGUAUCACUGAGCGGCGAAAUCC